rnacentral:rRNA from 1 species
UACGUAGGGGGCUAGCGUUGUCCGGAAUCAUUGGGCGUAAAGCGCGUGUAGGCGGUCCGGUAAGUCCGCUGUGAAAGUCGGGGGCUCAACCCUCGGAUGCCGGUGGAUACUGUCGGGCUUGAGUACGGAAGAGGCGAGUGGAAUUCCUGGUGUAGCGGUGAAAUGCGUAGAUAUCGGGAGGAACACCAGUGGCGAAGGCGGGUCCCUGGACAACACCUGACACUGAGGCACGAAAGCUAGGGGAGCAAACAGG